UCCGGUUGUAUUCCGAAGAAGCUUGGGCUGGAGGUGAGUGUUGGUUGCUGUAAUGAAUUCAAUCGGUACGCUCGAAAAGCCCAAAGAAUAAGAUUUUGCUCGAUAGCAAUCGGAUUCGGGAUCAUUAAAGUCGAAGUCAUCUACACUAUCAAAGCCUCCAUUUUGGUAUAAUUUUUGGUUGAGCUUUGAAAUGGCAUGUAUAGGACUACCCCUUGUUGGUUUAAAUAUGUUGUGAUGUAUAUGUGUACGGCCAUGCGAAAAUGGCUCGUAAAAGUGAAGUACGAACUUAGACUAUUUGCGGUUUGUAUAUAUAUAUAUAUGGUGUCAUGAUGUGA